rnacentral:rRNA from 1 species
UGGAUUAGGCAUGCAAGUCGAACGGGAUUUCUAGCUUUUUCGGAAAUUCAGUGGCGAAAGGGUGAGUAACACGUGAGUAACCUGCCCUAGGGAUCGGGAUAACCUGCCGAAAGGCGGGCUAAUACCGGAUACGUUUUUACUACAAUGUAGUAAAUGGAAAGAUGGGGACCUCGCAAGAGGCCUGUCACCCCUGGAUGGGCUCGCGUCCUAUCAGCUAGUUGGUGAGGUAAUGGCUCACCAAGGCUAAGACGGGUAGCUGGUCUGAGAGGAUGGUCAGCCACACUGGGACUGAGACACUGCCCUGAAUCAUACCGGAGGCUGCAGUCGAGAAUCUUUCGCAAUGGGGGAAACCCUGACGAAGAGACGCCGCGUGCAGGAUGAAGGCCUUCGGG